CCUACGGGUGGCAGCAGUGGGGGAUAUUGCACAAUGGGGGAAACCCUGAUGCAGCGACGCCGCGUGGGUGAAGAAGCGCCUCGGCGCGUAAAGCCCUGUCAGCAGGGAAGCAAAUGACGGUACCUGAAGAAGAAGCCCCGGCUAACUACGUGCCAGCAGCCGCGGGAAUACGUAGGGGGCAAGCGUUCUCCGGAUUUACGGGGUGUAAAGGGGGCGUAGACGGCGAUGCAAGCCAGGAGUGAAGGCCCGGGGCCCAACCCCGGGACUGCUGUUGAAACUGGGUGGCUAGAGUGCAGGAGGGGCAGGCGGAAUUCCUGGUGUAGCGGUGAAAUGCGUAGAUAUCAGGAGGAACACCGGUGGCGAAGGCGGCCUGCUGGACUGCAACUGACGUUGAGGCCCGAAAGCGUGGGGAGCAAACAGGAUUAGAUACCCUAGUAGUC
rnacentral:rRNA from 1 species